AGAGUUUGAUCCUGGCUCAGGAUGAACGCUAGCGGCAGGCCUAACACAUGCAAGUCGAGGGGCAGCACGGUGUAGCAAUACACUGGUGGCGACCGGCGCACGGGUGCGUAACGCGUAUGCAACCUACCCAUAACAGGGGGAUAACACUGAGAAAUUGGUACUAAUACCCCAUAACAUCAGGACCGGCAUCGGUUCUGGUUGAAAACUCCGGUGGUUAUGGAUGGGCAUGCGUUGUAUUAGCUGGUUGGUGAGGUAACGGCUCACCAAGGCAACGAUACAUAGGGGGACUGAGAGGUUAACCCCCCACAUUGGUACUGAGACACGGACCAAACUCCUACGGGAGGCAGCAGUGAGGAAUAUUGGUCAAUGGACGAGAGUCUGAACCAGCCAAGUAGCGUGAAGGAUGACUGCCCUAUGGGUUGUAAACUUCUUUUAUAUGGGAAUAAAGUGAGCCACGUGUGGCUUUUUGUAUGUACCAUACGAAUAAGGAUCGGCUAACUCCGUGCCAGCAGCCGCGGUAAUACGGAGGAUCCAAGCGUUAUCCGGAUUUAUUGGGUUUAAAGGGUGCGUAGGCGGUUUGAUAAGUUAGAGGUGAAAUACCGGUGCUUAACACCGGAACUGCCUCUAAUACUGUUGAACUAGAGAGUAGUUGCGGUAGGCGGAAUGUAUGGUGUAGCGGUGAAAUGCUUAGAGAUCAUACAGAACACCGAUUGCGAAGGCAGCUUACCAAACUAUAUCUGACGUUGAGGCACGAAAGCGUGGGGAGCAAACAGGAUUAGAUACCCUGGUAGUCCACGCAGUAAACGAUGAUAACUCGUUGUCGGCGAUACACAGUCGGUGACUAAGCGAAAGCGAUAAGUUAUCCACCUGGGGAGUACGUUCGCAAGAAUGAAACUCAAAGGAAUUGACGGGGGCCCGCACAAGCGGAGGAACAUGUG
rnacentral:rRNA from 1 species